rnacentral:lncRNA from 1 species
AAAAGUGUAAGACAAGGUCAAACUUGCAGAGUCCAGAGCACCAUCACUAUAGCUCUCUCUGGUCUCCCUGUGGAGGCCACAAAAGCACAACUCAUGUGCCUUUCAGAAGCUGGGGAAGGUGUGGAAGAAUCAGGAUGCAAGAGGUUAUCUCUCAAGCAACACUCCUCUUCCUGACCUGGUUCAGGAAGUUUACCCCAUGAGGACAAGCACUCCAUUGCAAAAUACCAGG